GAUGAACGCUAGCGAUAGGCUUAACACAUGCAAGUCGAGGGGCAGCAUGAACAAAGCUUGCUUCGUUUGACGGCGACCGGCGCCCGGGUGCGUCACACGUAUGCAACUUACCCAUUAAGCGAGGAAAACCCGGUGAAAUACGGACUAAUACUCGAUGGUAUAUUUAGGAGGCAUCUGUUAAUAAUCAAAGAUUUAUCGAUCAUGGACAGGGGUGCGUAUGAUUAGCUAGUUGGUGGGGUAACGGCUCCCCAAGGCGACGAUCAUUGGGGGUUCUGAGAGGAAGGUCCCCCACACUGGUGCUGAGACACGAACCAGACUCCUACGGGAGGCAGCAGUGAGGAAGAUUGGUCAAUGAACGAGGGUCUGAACCAGCCAAGUCGCGUGAAGGAAGACUACCCUAAGGGUUGUAAACUUCUUUUGUGUGAGAAUAGAAAGAGGGGCGUGUCCCUCAUUGUAUGUACCAUACGAAUAAGGAUCGGCUAACUCCGUGCCAGCCGCCGCUGUAAAAC
rnacentral:rRNA from 1 species